UACAGAGGUCUCAAGCGUUGUUCGGAUUCAUUGGGCGUAAAGGGUGCGUAGGCGGCGGGGCAAGUCAGAUGUGAAAUCCCGGGGCUCAACCCCGGAACUGCAUUUGAUACUGCCUUGCUCGAGUGCUGGAGAGGAGACUGGAAUUUACGGUGUAGCAGUGAAAUGCGUAGAUAUCGUAAGGAAGACCAGUGGCGAAGGCGAGUCUCUGGACAGCUACUGACGCUGAGGCACGAAGGCCAGGGGAGCAAACGGG
rnacentral:rRNA from 1 species